rnacentral:rRNA from 1 species
UAAUUGAAGAGUUUGAUCAUGGCUCAGAUUGAACGCUGGCGGCAGGCUUAACACAUGCAAGUCGAGCGGUAGCACAGGGGAGCUUGCUCCCUGGGUGACGAGCGGCGGACGGGUGAGUAAUGUCUGGGAAACUGCCUGAUGGAGGGGGAUAACUACUGGAAACGGUAGCUAAUACCGCAUAACGUCGCAAGACCAAAGAGGGGGACCUUCGGGCCUCUUGCCAUCAGAUGUGCCCAGAUGGGAUUAGCUAGUAGGUGGGGUAAUGGCUCACCUAGGCGACGAUCCCUAGCUGGUCUGAGAGGAUGACCAGCCACACUGGAACUGAGACACGGUCCAGAC